UACCUUCUCAUUGAGCAGGAUCAAGCCAAGCAGAGGCCGAGACAUUGACCACUGGUUCCUGCAGUCCUCGAAGAUGAUGAUAUUCAGCACUGUCGACAGCAUCUGCAAGAGGGAACACGGAGCUUAGAGCGAGCGCUUGCAUGCACGGACAGCGCGUGCUCCAGCACCCUGGGAUCCUCCUCCAAAAGAUUUUGUCCGUGCUUCAUCCCACGGCCUCAUCACAAAGCAGCAGGAAUUAAAGCCAGCACCUGACCGA